rnacentral:rRNA from 1 species
CCACCGAAAGGUGGUCUAAUACUUCAUAAUAUCCAUCUCGUAUGGAUUAAAGCUUUAUGCGCUUUGGGAGGGGCCUGCGUAACAUUAGCUUGUUGGUGAGGUAAAAGCUCACCAAGGCUUCGAUGUUUAACUGGUUUGAGAGGAUGACCAGUCACACUGGGACUGAGAUACGGCCCAGACUCCUACGGGAGGCAGCAGUAAGGAAUCUUCCACAAUGGGGGCAACCCUGAUGGAGCAAUACCGCGUGCAGGAUGAAGCGUUUCGGCGUGUAAACUGCUUUUAUCACCGAAGAUUAUGACUGUAGGUGAAGAAUAAGGACCGGCUAACUACGUG